GACGAACGCUGGCGGCGUGCUUAACACAUGCAAGUCGAACGGAAAGGCCCUGCUUUUGUGGGGUGCUCGAGUGGCGAACGGGUGAGUAACACGUGAGUAACCUGCCCUUGACUUUGGGAUAACUUCAGGAAACUGGGGCUAAUACCGGAUAGGAGCUCCUGCUGCAUGGUGGGGGUUGGAAAGUUUCGGCGGUUGGGGAUGGACUCGCGGCUUAUCAGCUUGUUGGUGGGGUAGUGGCUUACCAAGGCUUUGACGGGUAGGCGGCCUGAGAGGGUGACCGGCCACAUUGGGACUGAGAUAGGGCGCAGACUGGUACGGGAGGCAGCAGUGGGGAGUAUUGUACAAUGGGCGGAAGCCUGAUGCAGCAACGCCGCGUGUGGGAUGACGGCCUUCGGGUUGUAAACCGCUUUCGCCUGUGACGAAGCGUGAGUGACGGUACUGGGUAAAGAAGCACCGGCUAACUACGUG
rnacentral:rRNA from 1 species